GACGAACGCUGGCGGCGUGCUUAACACAUGCAAGUCGAACGGAAAGGCCCUGCUUGCCGGGUACUCGAGUGGCGAACGGGUGAGUAACACGUGGGUGAUCUGCCCUGCACUUCGGGAUAAGCCUGGGAAACUGGGUCUAAUACCGGAUAGGAGCCAUUUUUAGUGUGAUGGUUGGAAAGUUUUUUCGGUGUAGGAUGAGCUCGCGGCCUAUCAGCUUGUUGGUGGGGUAAUGGCCUACCAAGGCGGCGACGGGUAGCCGGCCUGAGAGGGUGGACGGCCACAUUGGGACUGAGAUACGGCCCAGACGCCGACGGGAGGCAGCAGUGGGGAAUAUUGCACAAUGGGCGCAAGCCUGAUGCAGCGACGCCGCGUGGGGGAUGACGGCCUUCGGGUUGUAAACUCCUUUCGCUAGGGACGAAGCUUUUUGUGACGGUACCUAGAUAAGAAGCACCGGCUAACUACGUG
rnacentral:rRNA from 1 species